UACGGGGGGGGGCAAGCGUUGUUCGGAAUUACUGGGCGUAAAGGGCUCGUAGGUGGCCAACUAAGUCAGACGUGAAAUCCCUCGGCUUAACCGGGGAACUGCGUCUGAUACUGGAUGGCUUGAGUUCGGGAGAGGGAUGCGGAAUUCCAGGUGUAGCGGUGAAAUGCGUAGAUAUCUGGAGGAACACCGGUGGCGAAGGCGGGUCUCUGGGCCGAAAUUGACGCUGAGGAGCGAAAGCGUGGGGAGCAAACAGG
rnacentral:rRNA from 1 species